UCGGAGUUCUCAAAGGAUGCCGGAUCGGUUUUUCAAGGAAACAAAUUCUCCGACGGCAGCCAUUGGCAGUUCCUAUAUAUGGAGUAGAGCACGAAGCAGACAAAUGAAAUGAAGCAGUCACCUGCUAACUUUUAAACGCUUAAGGAUAUCAGAAUAGAAGAAGGAAGAACGACUGGUUUGUCGUGGAUGUGAGGUGAAACAUCAACUUGGGAGUGGAUGGAUUGAAGAAAUUUGAGGACCAAGUAAGUUUAAAUGCAUGUGCUUUCUUAUAUUUUGAACUAUUAUAUGAAAAUAACAGAUACAGCUUCCUUUUUCUAAUACAAUUGAUCUCAUAAUGAGCCGAACUUGUAUACUGAGCUGUCUUGGGAAUGAUUGUGAACUGCCUGGUAUGCUGAUGAUAAUGAAUCACUGAAAGUAACUCUUCGCAUUCACAUUUUAAGUAUUCUGAAUUUCAAUGUGGUUAUAACCGUUAUAGAACUCUCAGUGAGCAAGUGUUUUUU